CACUGUAAAAAAUUGCUGUAGUUUCUACAGCAAAAUUUUACAGAAUUUUAAUGUAUAAACAUUUUACAAGAUGCAGCUGUAAUUCGCAAUGCAUUAUGGGUCAAAUAAGGUUUUACAGUUGUUAACAGUAUAUUUCCACGUCAACUGUAAUUCAUUUACAAGAAGCAGGUGUUGUCACUGUAGUUCCUGCUUUUUACACUAACUUACUGUAGUGUGGCAUUAUGGGAUUGCGCGCGCAUCAUUCAAAUCAGAAACCCAGCCGACUGGAGCAGCCCGAGAACGAUUGAAGAUAAGAGGCUUUAUUCAUAAUUCCUGGUGCAAAGAAUAGCAGCUGAUGUGGAGAAAUGUUCGAUGCUUCAAGACUCUGAAGCUGAUUUUAUUAGGUCCACCCAGUGGCUUUUGACUAUUUGAGGGUCAGAUGGUUGUGAAUUCAUCCCUCAACAUUGUGCGUCCCGGGAGCAGGCAUCUUUUGCACACAUUAAUUUUUUCAAAGUGGUAUUUACUGGAGAGUCUAUGGGACAGUCACAAUCUUCCCGGUUGCAUCCAAAAUAUCUUAAAUUGUGUUCCGAAGACGAACAAAGCUUUUACGGGUUUGGAACGACAUGGAGAUGUUUUCUUGGAAUCACAACACUCACUGGAUACAAGACGGACACAUGGAGGCAAAACAAGUGGAAAAGUCUCAGAGAAGAGGGACAACCCUCAUGUGUGUGCUCAUCUCAGAAAGUUGAUGGACUUUCAGUAUGUAUUUAUUAAAUUGUCUUUUGCAGGAAUAUUCUUAAUUUAAUAGAACAUA